rnacentral:rRNA from 1 species
GGGGAAUAUUGGACAAUGGGGGCAACCCUGAUCCAGCAAUGCCGCGUGUGUGAAGAAGGUCUUCGGAUUGUAAAGCACUUUCGACGGGGACGAUGAUGACGGUACCCGUAGAAGAAGCCCCGGCUAACUUCGUGCCAGCAGCCGCGGUAAUACGAAGGGGGCUAGCGUUGCUCGGAAUGACUGGGCGUAAAGGGCGUGUAGGCGGUUUACACAGUCAGACGUGAAAUCCCCGGGCUUAACCUGGGAGCUGCAUUUGAUACGUGUAGACUAGAGUGUGAGAGAGGGUUGUGGAAUUCCCAGUGUAGAGGUGAAAUUCGUAGAUAUUGGGAAGAACACC